CCAAUAGCGUAUAUUAAAGUUGUUGCAGUUAAAAAGCUCGUAGUUGAAUUUUAGGCCUGACCGGACGGUCCGUCUCUGGCGAGUACUGUUCUGCUGUCGGGUCUAUCCUUCUGGUGAGCCGGUAUGCCCUUUAUUGGGUGUGUCGGGGAACCAGGACCAUUACCUUGAAAAAAUUAGAGUGUUUAAAGCGGGCUUUUGCUUGAAUAGAUUAGCAUGGAAUAAUAGAAUAGGACGUUGGUUCUAUUUUGUUGGUCUAGGACCACCGUAAUGAUUAAUAGGGAUAGUUGGGGGCAUUAGUAUUCAAUUGUCAGAGGUGAAAUUCUUGGAUUUAUUGAAGACUAACUACUGCGAAAGCAUUUGCCAAGGAUGUUUUCAUUAACCAAGAACGAAAGUUAGGGGAUCGAAGGCGAUCAGAUACCGUCGUAGUCUUAACCAUAAACUAUGCCGACUAGGAAUCGGGCGACGUUAUUUUCAUGACUCGCUCGGCGCCUUAUG
rnacentral:rRNA from 1 species